rnacentral:rRNA from 1 species
UACGUAGGGUGCGAGCGUUGUCCGGAAUUACUGGGCGUAAAGAGCUCGUAGGCGGUCUGUCGCGUCCGUUGUGAAAACUCGAGGCUCAACCUCGGGCUUGCAGUGGAUACGGGCAGACUAGAGUGCGGUAGGGGAGACUGGAAUUCCUGGUGUAGCGGUGGAAUGCGCAGAUAUCAGGAGGAACACCGAUGGCGAAGGCAGCACUCUGGGCCGGUACUGACGCUGAGGAGCGAAAGCGUGGGGAGCAAACAGG